rnacentral:piRNA from 1 species
AUUUGUCUCCUGGGUUAUGUGACUGUG